GUCCGACAGAGCAUACACACAAAAACAUGAAUCCUGUGAAGCUUGUGAAAUGGAGCAGUGGGGGUCCAAACUCCACACACAACAUGAAGAGGAAAAGAGAAAGAGAAGCUGCUUCUUUGUUGGACCUGUUAUGGGAUUUUGUUCUAAUAGAUUUAUGACUAUAUAAUACUUAACAUAAUAUAAUAUAUAUGUGCAAUACAAAAACGUUGUUAUUUUCGGUAAAACCUAGUGUCCAUACUUUUAAUUACUGGUUCAUGCAAGUGGAGAUAUAUUCUAGUUUUUCGCAAAACUUUGGCGAGAUUUUAUAAAUAUCGAUGAAAAAUAAAACGUUUCCUUUAACUGAUGUUAUGCGACUAAAACGUAACCUUUUGCCUGUUUUUGCCUUCUUUGUGAAAUUGAGGCGUUUCCAUCAGGUGUGUUUUGCGCAGUUUGAAGGGUAAUCUAAAAACACCUUUAAAUAUGUUUCAUGUAAUGUCAUGCAGUUUCGUACAUAAACCUCAUCCUCGGAGGAUUGUGUCUCUCCUGAUUAAACUACAGAUCAGAAAACACACAAACACGUGAUAAAAAAAACUGAUGAACGCUGGGAAAAAAUAGCAUUUAGUGGAAAACAAAAACUUUUAUUUUAUAUACAUUUUAUAUACAUUUUUUUAUGUUUUGCUGUCUGGAUGGCAGCAUAACUUUGAGACUAUCUUAAACAAGAAGUAUGUAAGUCUUAAUCUUUUUCUUUAAUGUGAUUUAUAUACCCCUCUCUUGUUCCCUGAAGUAGUUUUUUUCCCUCUCUUCUUGUAAUUUUUUUAUUUAUUUGUUCUACAUUGUAACAGUUUUUUUCUUUGUCUGUAUAAUGUUCUUCAUAAAAAUAAAAAAAAACCAUGAACACACCAGCUGUGGGUGUGGCCAUCACCUGAUCACCUGACCACACAGCUUCACUCUGAUUGGUUCAGGUUUCCUGUAUAAUGCACGCAGAAGGUGAAAGCACACACUCUCAGACUCACACUGACUGGACACACAGCUCAAGCUGUCUUACAGAAACUGAUCUCUCAGAUGUUCAGCAUGACUUUCUCAUAUUAAUAAUCAUGAGAUCUGCCCUGGAUAUCACUGCAAGUCUCUCAUCACAGUUUGACUCCAGAGAAGAGAUGAAAUGAUGAAACUGAUGAAGACUGAAGAGAGAGAGAGAUGAAAACACAAACCAGUGAACACCUCAAUCUUGUGAGAUGCUGGAGCUUGAAUGAUAUUAGACUGAACUUCUCUGCUGAUCCACACACAGCUGUGAAGAGAAACACACGUCAGGAAAGAGACUGAUUCAUCAUAAAUCGAUGGAAACAAAGUUACACUUCAGACCAAACUGAGGUUUCUAUCCGUUUUAAACAUUCUUAAAUCAAGAUGCAUUUACUGAAUAAUGUAUCAAUAUUGAGUGAGUUUAUUAUUUUAAGAAAAUAACAAAUAUCUGGGGUCAGAAAAAUAAACUGGUUUCCCUUUGUGAAGUAGAUUAUUUUUUUCUGAUUGUCAGAUAUUUCUUUAAAUCAUGAACUCACUUAAUAUAGACACAUUGUUCAGAAGUAAACAUUUAAAAUGUCAUUUUGCUCCUCACUGUGAUUUAAAGAUGUUUAGAUGUUUAUACUUUAUAAAAAAUACUGAGGAAGAAAGUAAUGUUUGUAGUAUGGAAGUGCAUUAUAUUUCAGAUGAUUAAUAUAAUUUGAGCAGAUUUUCCUUGCAUUGUAAUCCGUAUGAUCACAACAUAUCACUGCCUUAAUUGUUCGUUUUCUUCUUGAUUUGAAUGCGUGUCAUUUCUUCACUAUGUGAUUUGCAUUAUCAAUGGACAUUACUUUAACAGACAUCUCUCAUAACUGUAAUGUAGAAACAUGCAUCUCGUCUCAAUCUACACUUUGAAAUGACGAAGCGCUAAUAAUUCUGGCAGCUAUAAUGGUUUCAGAUGAUGCAUGGUUUCAGUCAGCAAUGAUGAAUGUGACUGUAAUAAUGGAUUUGAUGAAGACGGCACACUGCAGUCUGUUCUGGACUCUGCAGAUCCUGAAACCAUCUGUAUUUGUGAUGCAUUUCUGUUCUUGUGACGUUUACUGUGUCUUCUGCGUUUGACCUCAUAUUGCUGUUUGCACAUUUUUGUAUCAUAUUUUUGUUCUAAAUCUAAGCUAUUUAAAGUAUUACUUUGUCAUAUAGCACAGAUUAACUUCCAUCUGUUAUGUCUUUUACGUUUUAAUAAGAUGUAAGCACAAUACAAUGCAGAAUUUAUCAUUCAUGUUACUGAUGUUUUCUGUAAUAUACACUUGUAUUGUUUUUGUGAAUCAUGUAUUUUAAACUUGUACUGUAAUAGCACUGGACUGAAAGCUCAGUGUUGAUUCAGCAUUAAAAGUGCAUCCUGGAGAUGCAGACACACUUUAUUCAAAUAAAAUCCAUGAAACAA